UCUACGGGGCGCAGCAGUGAGGAAUAUUGGUCAAUGGGCGUAAGCCUGAACCAGCCAAGUCGCGUGAGGGAUGAAGGUUCUAUGGAUCGUAAACCUCUUUUAUAAGGGAAUAAAGUGUGGGACGUGUCCUAUUUUGUAUGUACCUUCUGAAUAAGGAUCGGCUAACUCCGUGCCAGCCGCCGCUGUAAUACGGAGGAUCCGAGCGUUAUCCGGCUUUAUUGGGUUUAAAGGGUGCGUAGGCGGCCUUUUAAGUCAGCGGUGAAAGUCUGUGGCUCAACCAUAGAAGUGCCGUUGAAACUGGGGGUGUUGAGUAUGUUUGAGGCAGGCGGAAGGCGUGGUGUAGCGGUGAAAUGCGUAGAGAGCACGCAGAACCCCGAUUGCGAAGGCAGACGGCCAAGCCAUGACUGACGCUGAUGCACGAAAGCGUGGGGAUCAAACAGGAUUAGAUACCCGGGUAGUC
rnacentral:rRNA from 1 species